rnacentral:rRNA from 1 species
GACCUUCGGGUCUAGUGGCGCACGGGUGCGUAACGCGUGGGAAUCUGCCCUCUGGUACGGAAUAACUCAGGGAAACUUGAGCUAAUACCGUAUAAUGACUUCGGUCCAAAGAUUUAUCGCCUGAGGAUGAGCCCGCGUAGGAUUAGCUUGUUGGUGAGGUAAAAGCUCACCAAGGCGACGAUCCUUAGCUGGUCUGAGAGGAUGAUCAGCCACACUGGGACUGAGACACGGCCCAGACUCCUACGGGAGGCAGCAGUGGGGAAUAUUGGACAAUGGGCGAAAGCCUGAUCCAGCAAUGCCGCGUGAGUGAUGAAGGCCUUAGGGUUGUAAAGCUCUUUUACCCGGGAUGAUAAUGACAGUACCGGGAGAAUAAGCCCCGGCUAACUCCGUGCCAGCAGCG